UGGGGGAUCUUGCACAAUGGGGGCAACCCUGAUGCAGCGACGCCGCGUGAGCGAUGAAGCCCUUCGGGGUGUAAAGCUCUUUCGGCAGGAACGAUAAUGACGGUACCUGAAGAAGAAGCUGCGGCUAACUACGUGCCAGCAGCCGCGGUAAUACGUAGGCAGCGUGCGUUGUUCGGAGUUACUGGGCGUAAAGAGUGCGUAGGCGGUUUUCUAAGUUUGGUGUGAAAUCUCCCGGCUUAACUGGGAGGGUGCGCCGAAAACUGGAAGGCUUGAGUAUGGGAGAGGUAGGCGGAAUUCCUGGUGUAGCGGUGAAAUGCGUAGAUAUCAGGAGGAACACCUGUGGUGUAGACAGCUUACUGGACCAUGACUGACGCUGAGGCACGAAAGCGUGGGGAGCAAACAGGAUUAGAUACCCUGGUAGUCCACGCCCUAAACGAUGCAUACUUGGUGUGAGCCAUUCAGUUGGUUCGUGCCGGAGCUAACGCGUUAAG
rnacentral:rRNA from 1 species